UUUUACACCAUUAUUUAUUCACAUUUUUGGUUAAUGCUUAUAUAAACAAAUGGAUUCCACACAGAAAAAAAAGCUUUUUGAAAACAAAGAACAUAAAUUUAAAAAAAAAAAAAAAAAACAGAAAUAAGAAUGUGGAAUACUUAUUGUUAUUCAGCUGGAAUAUUAUUGGCAGGGUGACUCAUUUGUUAAUCCACAGUGCUAUAAAUAGUACUGUAACUCAAUUGAAUGGAAACAUAUCCUUCGCUAUCUCUAGUCACUUGUUUACCCAUGUAAAAUACAUAUGUUUUUGAACUGGCUUAGGUGAUUCCAGAAAGGGCUAGCAAAGUUCAGUGACUUCAUUACACAUUCAAAGCCCUUCAGCUUUCGAUUAAUUUUCUUGUACUCCUACCAUGUUGCUCACUCUGCUCAAUGCAUGGACGUAGAGGCAAUAAAAGGCUACUGUGACAACUCAGCCAGUGUUUCCUCAUAUCACAGGCCAGUGAUAGCAAGCCUUUGGCACCAAUACCAAGUUUGGUGCCAACAGGUAUUUGGUCUGGCACCAGCAGUAAGAAGCUAUGAUGGUUUCUUUUUUAGUUUGUUUGGCACCAGUAACGAGAAACAUUCACCAUUCCUGGCAAAGAGCCACAGGAUUUCACCAAACAGCUUCUGAAUCAUAACUUCGUAACAAACAUAACACAACACAACUUGUAAUUGCGGAGUCUGUCUCUUAGCAAGCAGUUCUGUCCUGAUAAUUACAUUCGGACUUAUCAAUACUUGUGCUUUCAUCUUGUAUCGGUUUCUUUCUAGCUGUUAUAAUCUUCUCAAAGAGAUCCACAAGCCUGUAAGUCCUUCAGCAUUUGGAUUUUCUUUCUCUUGCUGCAGUUAGAUGAAACCAGGUAAUCAUCCACGAGGAAAGCCUAUGGGGACAGCUACUAAAUUAAGUCAUCACGGAAUAUGUUGUAAAUACUAUGUUGACUUAACCUCCCUCCUCACCCCUGUACUAUGUCAUGUGCUUUCUCAGACGGCAGAUCUGCAAUAUAGGUUCACCCUAUGCUGGUGUGGAGCCCCAUUCAAGCCUCUAAGGCUUAAUGCAUCUAGGAAGAAAAAAGAAUUACCUGUAAGUUAUCUGAGACUCAUGACAGCACGAUUCCAGUUCCGGCAGCGGUUGCUAAAUGGCACAACACUUCUGAUUAGGCCUCGCAGGGGAUACCUCAGUGGAUACAGCACAGGAUGAAGACUCUGAAGAGCUCAGUUCUACAGACGGCGUUGCUACUGACUUGCCAAACAGAUUUCAGCAGGACAUCUCCCCUUCACUCCUCUUGGCUGUAAACUGGGUGAGCUCUGAGAUCUGUGUGGGAAGGACAGUGUGAGAACACGGAAUUACUUUUGUAGUACGAAGCAUUAGUAACAACAGCAAUAAUGUCAUCCUCUUCACAGGGGAAAAAUCUGUCCCUGCCCAUUCUGUCACAAUCCAGUACAAAGGAAAAAUUUGCUGAGAUGAGGACUUUUGAAUGGGACGUGAAGUGGGCACAGGGAGGAAAUGAUUCUAAGUCUUUGGGCAUGGGAAAAUUUCUUCUCAAGCAACAACUCCCAAGAAACUAAACAUUGUGUUAUAAAAAAACAAGUCAAAAUGGAAGUCCCCACUGUAAAUUCAGCUCUCGAUAUUUGCCAAAGACACAUGGGAAUCCCUACCCCAAGGGAAUGCUUGUUCCUGUGGAAAAGUGCAAAUCCGUAGAGUUCACAAUGAGGGGAUUCACGCAGACAUGCAUUCUACCUCAGUGAUCAAACUCUUCCUCUCAAGGUCUAAAUGAAUUUCCACUGACCUCCUUUCUUACAGCUUAGUCUCCAGCUGGAUUUCCUUCAACUAUAAAAAUGUAUAUAGUGUAAUUAGCCAACCUCCACAGACUCUGUAGUUCAUUUAUGCAUGCUAGGCAAGUCUCCUGCUGUGAGCAGCCCAUCCAAAGAGAACUCUUUGAACUGGUCUAUUGUUGUUCGUGUAGCGUAUUGCAUUGUCCAAUUUCAUCAUUCCUGGCAAGGCACAGCACUCCUGCAGCUUUCUACAGGAGGAGGAAAAGAGAUGAUGAAGCACUUUGUCCAGCUGCUGUGCCGGACAUCUCAGAUGUACAAAUAAGCUUGCCUACCACUAGCUAUAAGACUCGCCCAGUCAACACAGAGGUAUUUGUUGACCAACUGUGCUUAUAAGAUCUUAUCUGGAAGUACUCUCUAAUCUAGUUAGCCAUCUGGAGGGACAAGGGACAGAAAAGAGAGUAAGAAAGGAUCAAGUGAAAAAGAAAGAUCAAAAAUAGUAGUAAUAAUAAAAUCAAGUCCAUAGAGCAACCCACCUUUACGUAAUAUUCGCUGGAGUGUACAGUCAAAUCUUGGCUUAAAGUACCACGAAAGUAACACAAUGGGGUAGACCAAAAACAUACCCAAAACCACACAACGGUGUAGCAUUUUGCUACAUUUAGUGGGGGAUAAUUCCAGAACUUAAAGGUUGAGCAAAUUUCCUUUCCUUCAAACACUCAUUGGCAAACUCUGAAAUAAAGGAGUCAAAUACUAAAGAAAAUGGGAAGUAAAGCUGUGUGUGUGAUUUGUGACGCACCAUUCACGUUUCUUUUCUUUGUUUUUGAUUAGGUACUGUUUUGGGUAGGAAAAGAGGGGGUCAUACAUCAAAAAAAAAAGUGCUGCUCUGCUGCUCUCAAGAGGAAGAGACAUUCCAUUUUAGAACAAAGAAUCUGGAUUUUUUUUCACAUUGCUUCACUAAAAGGUUUUUGGAGGUUUUUCUUGGGGUGAUGGGGGUGGAGUGUUUGGCUUUGCUAUAACACAGCACAUCAAAGCGCUUUUGAUGUGAAGUUUACUUAACAGAAUCAGUUUUUCCGAUGAUUGUGUUAAUCUUUAUAAACCUGAAGGCGAUACUGUGCCUUUUAAAAAACUAUAGCAGGAAAAGACUUGAGGUUACAUACACUCUCAGUGGUGAGAGACAGGAGCAGUUGUACUACUUUGCCUCUUCUUAAAACUACACCCAUUCCUUCAUGGGCAGCAAUAGCAGCGGUCUUGACUUCACUCCUGCUUGGCUUGGGAAGGUUCUCUUUAAACCAUGCUCAGCCCUCACACGCCAGCUUUACUGCCGUAUGGAGUCAAAAAGGGGUUUUGCAAUUGACUUUGAAUGGACAGCAGGGUAGGACUGAAGUUUUCAGUGGAGUUACUGCUGUCUCCCUCUCAUCGUUGAAGCGUCCCAUCCAGCACUGCUGGAGGGGACUGAACAUCUGCCCUCAGAAAGGGGCGUAAGACCACGACGAGCGCAGAGCUGAAAGCGAAUGGACAAUCGUGGUUAUUUUGUCUCGGAAGAAAAGCAGCCAGAUAAAGUCACAGAGCGCUUCGUCCCGGGUUUCAUGGAAGACUUAUAGUCGCAGCGUUAGGAAAAAGUUAAAGCAAAGUCGCUUUUUAAAAAAGAAAAAAAGAAAAAAACACAAUAAAAGAUUUUAUUGGAGAGCGACAGCUCUAACACUGCGCACAGCCAUCGGAAGGCAUCAGCAGCACGCUCAAAGCCAAGGGUAAAGCUGUGGCAGCCUCUCCCGUCACGCAGCGCUGCCUACCUGCUCCCACCUCGCCCUGCACCCUUGUUAUGACGGCAGGGGAGAGGGGCCGAGGCCGUCGGCCCACACAAACCACGAGGGAUCCCCAGCUGCGGAGCGGCGCGGUGUUCCAACAGGUUGUUGCGCUGUCACAUACAUCGCAACGAGCCGCUCUGCGCGGCGCCGAGAGCGCAGAUCGAGGCGCGGCAGGUUCUGCUCUGCCACCUAUGAGCCGCUCCGCACGCUGCACCUGGAGCGGGGCUGGAGCUCCGGAUCCCGUGGAGAUCUGCUCCGCUCGGAGCGGCCGGCGUGGAGGAGGCAGCCGGCAGGAGAAAAUACACUCGCGUUUCAUAAAAUAAAUAAAUAAAUAAAUAAAUAAAUAAGACUUUCCAACCAGACCUCGCUGUCAUCUGGGCUAAUUGCGGCUCCGAUACGGCUAUUAGGGCAUACCCACCUUUGCUACCUUUGCUUCCCCACCCACCACCCUUUCAGAUCUCCGUCCUGGCUCCGCCUCUCGCCGGCGUUAUAAUGGGCUGGUCUGAAAGUGGUGGAGAGACGCAGAACCACAGGGGAAGAGGGAGAUAAUGACAAUAACCCCAAUAACCCCCGUCACCCGGCUGCUGCCCGCGCCGCCGCGAGGAGCCGAGCGCUGACGGGGAUAAGCCGGACGGCGAGAGGAGACCUCGGCGUCUCCCGGAGCGUCGCCGGACGGGAGCGGCGGAGCGCCCCGAGGAGCGCCGGGCACCACCGGGGGCGGCGGAGAGGAGAGGCUCCGGUCCGACCCCAUGGAGCCGGCGGCGUGACGAGGCGGGGGAGCCCCUCGCUUCGGGAGGAGGACGCGGAGGUGGCAGCCGGAGCAGCCGCCGCCGCGGAGCUGUCCAAGCGGGCGCGGG
ensembl:lncRNA